GGGGGUGAAACGGAUUCGACGGGGAUAUGAAAGCUCAACGUUGCAUGCCGAGUGUUCUGUCAGCUCGUAAACUUGAUGGAAUUUUAAAUAUAAUCGCAGACGAUUAUAACUACGCACUGGCAGCGUAAGCUGCUGUGCCGCUUUUCCGGUCCGCGCCCGUAAGGCUGGAUAAAAGCGUCGACUCUUCGGGCUGGUCUGCCGAUGUGCCUCUCAUCGGAAAGACGAGAAUCCAACAGGCUGGUAUUCAGCAAUUCCUGUUCUGAGUGAGAGCUGAAUACGAGAUUUUUACUCGGAACUAAGCAUGUAGAAGCGUGAGGGGAGUAUUUUCGGACCCGGGUUCAACUCCCGGCACCUCCACCA
rnacentral:tmRNA from 1 species